UCAUUAUAUUGUUCUACGCAUUCUUGUG
rnacentral:sRNA from 1 species